rnacentral:misc_RNA from 1 species
CCGCAUUUCACGCGCACGGUGGACAUCGCAUGCCAACACGUGGCGUGGGCUCGGACCCGAAUAAUUCAUUCAAUCCAGCAGCAGAACAAUCGAGUUGCGUCCGCCCCUUGCCCCCUCCCUCUCCGUGUCUCCGAUUCUGGAUCUGCCCAUGCCGUAACCCGCAGGCUCCCGGCAUCUCGCUCUUGCCUCCAAAAUUCACCUUCGCCGAUUGCCGUCGUGGGCCGCCGCGAUGGCGUUGCGGACGCCUCGUACCACCUCCGUCGCAUUCUCCGCUGACUCCCCCCUCGGCGGCGUCCCAAUACGCUCCUCAACAGCCUGCUCCGUUCCCACGCCACCUCCUCUCGCUCCGCUGCGACCACCGAGGACCACCAGAGCGGGACGCCGCGGAACUCGUCGGCCACGUCCUGGCCGUCGCGCAUGCUGACGACGAGGCUGUUGCCCUCCCGGGCGCCCUCGGCGCGGAGCUCGCACGCGUCCUGCGAGCGCGCGGCGCCGCUGAGGCACCGGGCGCGCCGGCGGAGGAACAAGUUGAAGUAGGUCCGGAACAGAGGACAGGGAGGGACCUAAAAUUCAAGCCCAAAGGACCAAAGCCCGAAGUUUCUUUUCUUCCCCGCAAAGAAAGAAGGCAAGAGUUCUCGGCUUCUCGCAAGUCGCGACAGAGAAAGAGGCGGAGUUGCGGAGAAGAUGCAGAGCAGCAGCAUGAAGAGGGAGAUCAGCGAGGCCCACGACACCAUUCGCUUCGGCAUCAACGCCGGCGUCAAAGCGGACCUCGCCCCGCCGCACCCGAAUGAAAUCCAGAAAUCAUUUCUUCGUUCUAAAUUGUGUUUGGUGACAGGAAAGUCUAGAAAUAGGUGUUUAUAGAUUCAUCGCGACACGAAUUCACCAGAAAAGGUUACAAGAGAAAUGCAGAGAUUUAUUCUAUGGAGAAAGCAUCAGGGCAUUCUGCUUUGCGUCACAAAGUUUCAAACCCAGCAAAACCCCCAGUCGAUAUAUCAGAUAGGAUGAUUGGUGAUACCAAAGGAAGCAAACUCAAACACACAAAGUUUCAGAAGCACAGCUACUGCUUGCUCCCUCAGGCGACCUUGACCUCGAUGGUCUUGGGCUUCUUGGGCUCCGGCGGGGGCAGCUUCUCGACGGUCACCGUGAGCACGCCGUCCCUGCACACGGUGUCGCAUCGGGCGGCUCGACGAGGCGGACAAAGCCGGUGGCAGACCAUGGGUGCAAUGGGUGCAGAGACUUAGGUGGAUGGUUCUAAAUGUUCACGACAAAAAAAUGUGUGGCGCAUGGGUUUCUGUCCUGAGGGUGCGCAGAUCGGUCGCCAUUAGAAAGAUGCAGCUUCAACUACUUUGGACCAGGUGCAAAGUCAUGGCAGUUCUGAUAGGGCACGUAAGUAUUUUGCUUUCUUGAUACACUUCAAUCCUUCAUUUGUUCCACUGCACUGACAUUCGUUUCUGACAAACCCAUCUCAUAAUCUCACUGAUAAAAUGGACUUUGUACUAGCUUGCUAAUUUAUGACACUAGAUUCGUUUUGAGUACACAUUGUCUGGACAAAAUCUAAUAAAAUUACAAUAUCCAGAUGAAAGCACAAACAAUAUUUUUUAUUGCUACUUAUGUUUACAUUAACCAGUGGUGGUCAUUCACUCCUGACUUUCUUAAGAAAGAACGCAGACGAAAUAUUUGCAACAAUGACCCUUCUUGGAGAGGGCUCAUGCCCAUUCUUUGUCAGGAACAACACAUGCUUUGACUGCCACCGUCCUCUGGCUUCCUUUCCCUCUCUCUCUUUAUUUGUUUUUUAUGAGGUUGUGUCCAAAAUUGACGAAAGGUGAUAAUGUUUUAGCUGCAGUGUCAAAUAGCCUAUGGU